UGGCUCAGGAUGAACGCUAGCGGCAGGCCUAACACAUGCAAGUCGCGGGGCAGCACGGGUAGCAAUACCUGGUGGCGACCGGCGCACGGGUGCGUAACGCGUAUGCAACCUGCCCCCAUCAGGGGAAUAGCCCGCGAAAGGCGGAUUAAUGCCCCAUAGGCCCAGGGCGCCGCAUGGCGCUAUGGGUAAAGCUCCGGCGGAUGGGGAUGGGCAUGCGUGCCGUUAGCUAGUUGGGGCGGUAACGGCGCACCAAGGCGACGAUGGCUAGGGGGUCUGAGAGGAUGGUCCCCCACACUGGUACUGAGACACGGACCAGACUCCUACGGGAGGCAGCAGUGAGGAAUAUUGGUCAAUGGGCGGAAGCCUGAACCAGCCAUGCCCGCGUGCAGGAUGACGGCCCUACGGGUUGUAAACUGCUUUUCCCCGGGAAGAAUAAGCCCCUCGUGAGGGGUGAUCGCCGGUACCGGGGGAAUAAGGAUCGGCUAACUCCGUGCCAGCAGCAGC
rnacentral:rRNA from 1 species